rnacentral:rRNA from 1 species
UACGUAGGGUGCAAGCGUUGUCCGGAAUUAUUGGGCGUAAAGAGCUCGUAGGCGGUCUGUCGCGUCGGCUGUGAAAUCCCGAGGCUCAACCGCGGGCCUGCAGCCGAUACGGGCAGGCUAGAGUUCGGUAGGGGAGACUGGAAUUCCUGGUGUAGCGGUGAAAUGCGCAGAUAUCAGGAGGAACACCGAUGGCGAAGGCAGGUCUCUGGGCCGAUACUGACGCUGAGGAGCGAAAGCGUGGGGAGCGAACAGG